GGGUUGUGAGGUUAAGCGACUAAGCGUACACGGUGGAUGCCCUGGCAGUCAGAGGCGAUGAAGGACGUGCUAAUCUGCGAUAAGCGUCGGUAAGGUGAUAUGAACCGUUAUAACCGGCGAUUUCCGAAUGGGGAAACCCAGUGUGAUUCGUCACACUAUCAUUAACUGAAUCCAUAGGUUAAUGAGGCGAACCGGGGGAACUGAAACAUCUAAGUACCCCGAGGAAAAGAAAUCAACCGAGAUUCCCCCAGUAGCGGCGAGCGAACGGGGAGGAGCCCAGAGCCUGAAUCAGUGUGUGUGUUAGUGGAAGCGUCUGGAAAGGCGCGCGAUACAGGGUGACAGCCCCGUACACAAAAAUGCACAUGCUGUGAGCUCGAUGAGUAGGGCGGGACACGUGGUAUCCUGUCUGAAUAUGGGGGGACCAUCCUCCAAGGCUAAAUACUCCUGACUGACCGAUAGUGAACCAGUACCGUGAGGGAAAGGCGAAAAGAACCCCGGCGAGGGGAGUGAAAAAGAACCUGAAACCGUGUACGUACAAGCAGUGGGAGCACGCUUAGGCGUGUGACUGCGUACCUUUUGUAUAAUGGGUCAGCGACUUAUAUUCUGUAGCAAGGUUAACCGAAUAGGGGAGCCGAAGGGAAACCGAGUCUUAACUGGGCGUUAAGUUGCAGGGUAUAGACCCGAAACCCGGUGAUCUAGCCAUGGGCAGGUUGAAGGUUGGGUAACACUAACUGGAGGACCGAACCGACUAAUGUUGAAAAAUUAGCGGAUGACUUGUGGCUGGGGGUGAAAGGCCAAUCAAACCGGGAGAUAGCUGGUUCUCCCCGAAAGCUAUUUAGGUAGCGCCUCGUGAAUUCAUCUCCGGGGGUAGAGCACUGUUUCGGCAAGGGGGUCAUCCCGACUUACCAACCCGAUGCAAACUGCGAAUACCGGAGAAUGUUAUCACGGGAGACACACGGCGGGUGCUAACGUCCGUCGUGAAGAGGGAAACAACCCAGACCGCCAGCUAAGGUCCCAAAGUCAUGGUUAAGUGGGAAACGAUGUGGGAAGGCCCAGACAGCCAGGAUGUUGGCUUAGAAGCAGCCAUCAUUUAAAGAAAGCGUAAUAGCUCACUGGUCGAGUCGGCCUGCGCGGAAGAUGUAACGGGGCUAAACCAUGCACCGAAGCUGCGGCAGCGACGCUGAUGCGUUGUUGGGUAGGGGAGCGUUCUGUAAGCCUGCGAAGGUGUGCUGUGAGGCAUGCUGGAGGUAUCAGAAGUGCGAAUGCUGACAUAAGUAACGAUAAAGCGGGUGAAAAGCCCGCUCGCCGGAAGACCAAGGGUUCCUGUCCAACGUUAAUCGGGGCAGGGUGAGUCGACCCCUAAGGCGAGGCCGAAAGGCGUAGUCGAUGGGAAACAGGUUAAUAUUCCUGUACUUGGUGUUACUGCGAAGGGGGGACGGAGAAGGCUAUGUUGGCCGGGCGACGGUUGUCCCGGUUUAAGCGUGUAGGCUGGUUUUCCAGGCAAAUCCGGAAAAUCAAGGCUGAGGCGUGAUGACGAGGCACUACGGUGCUGAAGCAACAAAUGCCCUGCUUCCAGGAAAAGCCUCUAAGCAUCAGGUAACAUCAAAUCGUACCCCAAACCGACACAGGUGGUCAGGUAGAGAAUACCAAGGCGCUUGAGAGAACUCGGGUGAAGGAACUAGGCAAAAUGGUGCCGUAACUUCGGGAGAAGGCACGCUGAUAUGUAGGUGAAGCGACUUGCUCGUGGAGCUGAAAUCAGUCGAAGAUACCAGCUGGCUGCAACUGUUUAUUAAAAACACAGCACUGUGCAAACACGAAAGUGGACGUAUACGGUGUGACGCCUGCCCGGUGCCGGAAGGUUAAUUGAUGGGGUUAGCGCAAGCGAAGCUCUUGAUCGAAGCCCCGGUAAACGGCGGCCGUAACUAUAACGGUCCUAAGGUAGCGAAAUUCCUUGUCGGGUAAGUUCCGACCUGCACGAAUGGCGUAAUGAUGGCCAGGCUGUCUCCACCCGAGACUCAGUGAAAUUGAACUCGCUGUGAAGAUGCAGUGUACCCGCGGCAAGACGGAAAGACCCCGUGAACCUUUACUAUAGCUUGACACUGAACAUUGAGCCUUGAUGUGUAGGAUAGGUGGGAGGCUUUGAAGUGUGGACGCCAGUCUGCAUGGAGCCGACCUUGAAAUACCACCCUUUAAUGUUUGAUGUUCUAACGUGGACCCGUAAUCCGGGUUGCGGACAGUGUCUGGUGGGUAGUUUGACUGGGGCGGUCUCCUCCUAAAGAGUAACGGAGGAGCACGAAGGUUGGCUAAUCCUGGUCGGACAUCAGGAGGUUAGUGCAAUGGCAUAAGCCAGCUUGACUGCGAGCGUGACGGCGCGAGCAGGUGCGAAAGCAGGUCAUAGUGAUCCGGUGGUUCUGAAUGGAAGGGCCAUCGCUCAACGGAUAAAAGGUACUCCGGGGAUAACAGGCUGAUACCGCCCAAGAGUUCAUAUCGACGGCGGUGUUUGGCACCUCGAUGUCGGCUCAUCACAUCCUGGGGCUGAAGUAGGUCCCAAGGGUAUGGCUGUUCGCCAUUUAAAGUGGUACGCGAGCUGGGUUUAGAACGUCGUGAGACAGUUCGGUCCCUAUCUGCCGUGGGCGCUGGAGAACUGAGGGGGGCUGCUCCUAGUACGAGAGGACCGGAGUGGACGCAUCACUGGUGUUCGGGUUGUCAUGCCAAUGGCACUGCCCGGUAGCUAAAUGCGGAAGAGAUAAGUGCUGAAAGCAUCUAAGCACGAAACUUGCCCCGAGAUGAGUUCUCCCUGACUCCUUGAGAGUCCUGAAGGAACGUUGAAGACGACGACGUUGAUAGGCCGGGUGUGUAAGCGCAGCGAUGCGUUGAGCUAACCGGUACUAAUGAACCGUGAGGCUUAACCUUACAACGCCGAAGCUGUU
rnacentral:rRNA from 1 species